ensembl:lncRNA
GCUCGUCUCAGUGCUGAGUUUCUGUUCUUCAGUGGGUGAGGGAAUAAAUGCUGCUCUGAAACUGCGCACAGGUGAAGAUGUAAGCACAGGCAGCAGAAAUAUCAAAGCAGAAAGCUGUCACCAUGUCAUUUAAUCCUCAUCAAAAGUCUCAAAGCACUGUGAUGUAAUUAGCUGAGAUGGUGCAGACGAUUGUUGUGUCGGUAUUGGAUUAUGACCUUAUGGAAGAAGCAAGCAGAAGGAGAAGAUGAAUUAGUAGAAAUGUAAGAAGUAAAGUGGCUUAGUUACCACGCUUUGUAACCGGAAAGAAAAUCCAAUAAAAACAGAAAACAAAACAUACAACCCAGUAGUUCAGUAAAGCCAUCAUUAAAUAGGAUUAUUUUUUUCAAUAUAUUAAUUUAAAUCGCUUCUGCAGAUGAAGAAAAAAAUCUGUGCCCUCCAUUAUUAAUUUAAAGAAAAAAGGUCAAAAGCUGUUCCCUCAUUCACUUCCAUGACACAGCAAAGCUCUGAAUGAUGAUCAGAGUUAUACCCUAACUUGUAGUCCAUGCAACCUUUCAUGUUAUUCAUUUUUAAUGGCUAUCAAAAAAUGUUAUCUUAAAAAGUAAUGAGUAAGUGCCAAAACCCUUCUUUUUCUGGAAUCAAAGAGGGUGGGAUCCACUGCCUUCUGCACUGUUUGAGUUUAUCCUGGAAGAUCAGAACUGAGUUCAGGGGAAGAUAGGUCUUUUGCUGUACUAUGGUCUAACCAGGUAAGAGAUAUGGGGUCUGUUGAUGCUGAUGAGUGUUUGAUCACACUGAUGUCUGACCCAUCACCCUGUGGCCCUGACCUUCUUGACUCUUUCUUACACAAGGACCAGAGACAACCAUUUCAUAUUAAUUAUCUCUUACUUUCCCUUCUAUCUCUCUAUCUUUCUGUCUUUUAACACUUGAAUAUGACGUGGGAUUCCUGUCUGGACUUGACUUAAUGUUUGCCAGUGAAGGCCAUUAAUCUCAGAGACAGGACAAUCUCCCAUCUCGUUUUCUCUUCUGCUUGAAGACUCCUCUCCUGCUGCUCCCAACAUCUCCCCUAACCCCAUCUCAGAGAUAACAGCCUCUCCUUGGGGGCUGUGGGGACUGGCUAGGCCCCCAAAGGGAGACACCCUGACUCCGUUUGGCAGGUCAGACACUGUGCAGGUAUGAACUUGGCACAGUCACGAUCUGACCCACCCACCCUCCCUUUUCUCCUCCUGAGGUCAGCGUGCUUGUUUUGCUUGCAGCUCCUGAGUGACAAAACUAGCAUGGCUCUAGAGAUAAGGCAGAAAAUUACCGAGCAAUUGAGGACUGAGAAAAUCCAGGGGUGAGAUGGAGAACCAGGCAAGAAACUGUAGAGCUAGCAGCCAGCAGGGAAUUGGCAAUAAAACUCCACAGCUCUCCUUGGGUUUGUAUAAACUUUCUACUUUUAUAUCCAUGGAAGUGACUCACAGCUCCCACAGAACUGGAUUUCAGGAUGACGAGGCAGAACCUGGCACAUAGCCAUCCUGUACUGCUCCUGCUCUUGCUCAGCACUAUUUCUCUCCUCCCACAUGGCACUUGCUUUAAAACACUAGAGCUGGUUCUGGGGAAAGUUUGGAAACGCUAACAUGAAGGCAAAACUGGGAACAUACUUCUAAAACAAAUUUCCUAAUUAAUUUGAUAUAGAGGAGACUGUUUAGUAAGGUUUUGGGGCCCCUGGGCUCUGCAGAAUGCUGAAAGACUUUUAGGAGCGAGGAGCGCGUUAGCUACAUUGCUGUGGAUGUCCUUUCUACAGCCAUUCUGAGUGUGUGUAUCACACAACCACUAAGAACCUUGGAUCACUUUCAUAUACACUGGAAGAGGGGCAGUGCUCUUAAAUAUCUGCGGGUUUUGUGUUGCUUUUUUCUUCUUUCCUACAAGAAUCAAGAAAAUAAGCAGCUAGUUAGAGAGAAAACAAAAACAAAAAAACCUAGAAGCCCGUAGAGUUGAGGUUGUCACCACAUUAGGUGACAGAAUCCACUCAUAUGCCUCAAACAAAGGGGAGGUGGCAAUUUGAAAUUGUGCGUUAUUUGGCAUUGCUGAGCCUAAAGAAAAGACAUAAAAAUACUUUUCCAUUUUAUGUUUGAUAGCGUAGAAGGACCUACUUCUUGUUUUUAACUGCUAGAAGGUCUCUGCUCGUUGUAUUUGGUGUAUAUGUCGCAAGUAUUCCGGCAUUUUUUCAGAUUUAUUAUCUUAUAGAACCUCAACGUGUCCUUAUUUUAACUCAUCUACAUUCUAAUUUUUAUCAUGCUCUGAAAGGUACUAAGGGAUCUGUCAAACAAAUGUUCUUAGCUUAAAAUCUGUUACUCACCUUCACGACAGAAGCAUUGUUCUUUAUUGUGCAUUUCUGGUCUCUGUCGGGGUGCCCAGGCACUGUGGCAAUACAGAUAAAUAAUAACUGCAUCACGUGCCAAAUGGCACAAGUGCAAAAAUACUUUGUACCAGCUGAGCAGUGCUUUCCCCUUGUUUUGCAAGGAUUUUUAUUUAUUUUUAAGAAAAAUAAAAGGAAAAAAAGGGGUAGAAACAUCUAGGUUACUACUUUGGUUUAAAAAUAUUUUUAAAAUAAUAAUUUAAAAAAUAGAGCAAAUGUGUUUUAGGAAAAGAGAAGAGAAGACAGCCAGAUGUGCUGCAUGCACUUUGACAAUGUUGCUCACUCACCAUUUCAUCCAGUGGUUAAAUAUCUUUAAAUUUUUUACUGCAGGUCCUGAAGACAGAGGACUGAGUAAGACCAUCGGCUUCCAAUUUUCAAAACAACACUUUCAAUCCUUGUGAUAGAUAAAGAAAGCCAUUAAAGGUAACAACUAGUCCAUCCCUUCCCACACAGCUCCAGCCCUUCCCUACACAGCAAGCUGAAGCAGCAGGAGGCCAUUAACACAAUCCAGAGGCACGCUUUUAAUCUCUAGUUUGUUGAAAUCUGCCUCAUUGUUUGUCUUUUUCUCAACAGUUGGUAUUGGCAAUAAUUCAUGCUGCCAAUGUUUUCCUUCCCAGGAAAGACGUUUCUUUCUUCUCUGGAACUCCAUCAAGGCCCAGAAGAAUCUUCCCCUAUGGUUCUGCCUCCCAUUCCUCACUCUUAGGUAGAGCAGCUCAGGAGAGUGAAGGAAAUCUUAUAUCCCUCUCAGGAGCAGAGAGGCAUUUCCACGUAGGAAGGACAGAAAACAAGCAGUCUGGGUGAAGAGCAACGAGAAAAGAGUCAAGGAACUCAAAAUACCUUUCCUCUUUCUUCUCCACUCCCACAGAAAUUUGGCUCAGAUGUCGCUGAAAAG